AAGGCUUUAAGUUAAAAAAACUAAUAGCCUUCAAAGCUAUAAAUAUAAGAUAAAUCUUUUAAGCUUUA
rnacentral:tRNA from 1 species